rnacentral:rRNA from 1 species
GGGAGCAAUCCUGGUGGCGAGUGGCGAACGGGUGAGUAAUAUAUCGGAACGUGCCCAGUCGUGGGGGAUAACGCAGCGAAAGCUGUGCUAAUACCGCAUACGAUCUCUGGAUGAAAGCGGGGGACUCGCAAGGGCCUCGCGCGAUUGGAGCGGCCGAUAUCAGAUUAGCUAGUUGGUGGGGUAAAGGCCCACCAAGGCGACGAUCUGUAGCUGGUCUGAGAGGACGACCAGCCACACUGGAACUGAGACACGGUCCAGACUCCUACGGGAGGCAGCAGUGGGGAAUUUUGGACAAUGGGCGCAAGCCUGAUCCAGCAAUGCCGCGUGCAGGAUGAAGGCCUUCGGGUUGUAAACUGCUUUUGUACGGAACGAAACGGUCUGCCUUAAUACGGUGGGCUAAUGACGGUACCGUAAGAAUAAGCACCGGCUAACUACGUGCCAGCAGCCGCGGUAAUACGUAGGGUGCGAGCGUUAAUCGGAAUUACUGGGCGUAAAGCGUGCGCAGGCGGUUAUAUAAGACAGAUGUGAAAUCCCCGGGCUCAACCUGGGACCUGCAUUUGUGACUGUAUAGCUAGAGUACGGUAGAGGGGGAUGGAAUUCCGCGUGUAGCACUGAAAUGCGUAGAUAUGCGGAGGAACACCGAUGGCGAAGGCAAUCCCCUGGACCUGUACUGACGCUCAUGCACGAAAGCGUGGGGAGCAAACAGGAUUAGAUACCCUGGUAGUCCACGCCCUAAACGAUGUCAACUGGUUGUUGGGUCUUCACUGACUCAGUAACGAAGCUAACGCGUGAAGUUGACCGCCUGGG